UACGGAGGGAGCUAGCGUUGUUCGGAAUUACUGGGCGUAAAGCGUACGUAGGCGGUUAUUCAAGUCAGAGGUGAAAGCCCGGGGCUCAACCCCGGAACUGCCUUUUGAAACUAGAUAGCUAGAAUCUUGGAGAGGUCAGUGGAAUUCCGAGUGUAGAGGUGAAAAUUUCGUAGAUAUUCGGAAGAACACCAGUGGCGAAGGCGACUGACUGGACAAGCAUUGACGCUGAG
rnacentral:rRNA from 1 species